UCACUUCGUCUUCUGGCUGUUAUUUCAGAUCCUGUGAUGAUGAUAAAAGAAAAGAUUAAUUCUGGGCCUUGUAGUAAAGGGCAAAAAAAGAAAAAAAAAAAAAAAAAAAAAAAAAAAAACUAGAACCAUCAUAUCAAAAUUCUAAAAGCCACCAAAGAAUAGCAGGGAGCCACAAAUUUGAGGGUGGUAGGUUUGCAGUUGCACGGUAAUUAAAGGACCAAAGAACGAGUUGAAGAAGCGGAAAAGAAAUGGCGGCAACUCGAACAGCAACAACAAUGAUCCUCAAAGAGAUUGUUUAUUGCAGGCUACGAUUAUCUUUCUCUUCCUUAUCAUCGUCAUCACUUCCCUCUCUCCAUCUAACUCCUACUAAUUUACAUGCUAACGCCGUUAAAUUCACCCGCCGCGAAUUAAGCUUCAGCCGUAUUCGGUGCGCUGCCUCUGACGACAAGAAGGUAUCGGCUCGUCUAUCGCAAGUUCAGCAGCUCCAGCACCCUGUCCUCCGGUCCAGAUUCCGAGUGCUGGUGGGCAUGGACCAUGGACCCAUCUUUCCCAAUAACAAAUAGAAGGUUGUUAUUUGUUAAAAAAUAAAAGAAAAAAAAAAAACAAACAAACGAACAAACACACAGCAACUCAUCCUUUAACACUCCUAAUAUACCCAUUAUUGUUUGCUUUA